GAAAAAAGUAGAGAGCGAGAACGCCCGUGUUUAGUCGUGUCGACGUGAUUUGCUUUUGUCUAUUUACAUUACUGGGAUUAAGAGGCCAGUUUCACUAGGCGAUCAAUUAAAUAAAGGGGGGAAUAAUAAGAUUACAUGGUGUAUACAAAUCAUGGGUUAGGUUGAACUUUUGUGAAACUUUUCUGUCCCUCGAUCGUGUGUGAUCGAUAAUCAUCAUUCAGCGGCAGGUUUUUGGAAAGGAUAGAUACGUAUAUAUGCAAAAUAUAUAUAAAUUGAUAUAUACAUAGAUAUUUAUGUACAUUUUACAUAUAUAGUGUUGAUAUUAUUUUUGGUUAGACGAAGAACAGUCGUCCUUUCUUUCUUUGCUCUGCUACUGGUGCCGCUUUUUUUAUUGGUGGCAAAUGAGACAAGUUCGUUCUACUGAGGCUAGAAAAAGGGAGACAGCUCCAGCGGUGUUCACGAGCAACCUACUUUGAUGUGCCUACGGGAUUCGAAAGAAAAUAUUCUCGGUGGUGAUAAGAUGCCGAUAACACAUACGGGAAAACCUGGCAGCGUCGAUGAACCGAUUGUGGCCUCGUACCUAUCAAAAAAAAAAAGAAAAAAAAGAAAAAGGUAAGUAUAAAAUAAAGCUCUUACUGAAACAUACCAUACACUUAGGAAUACGUACAUUGAGAAAAGAAAUAAAGAAAAGGCCAUAAGUAGAUAUGGGAAUGAAAAGAAAAAUAAUGUUGCACAUGUUACAAUUUACAACGAAGGUACAAAAGCAAAAAUAAUUUUGGAACUAUGAGAGGACAAAGGCUGUGCACAAUGAUCCGUCAAAUUAGUACGAUCUAUUCGGAAAUUUUGAAAUUGUUUGAAACUUGAAUAAAUAUGUCUGGAAAAUUUGUAAAUUUUCUUACACAAAAUAUUGAAUCAUUCAUCUUUUUCCUCUAACACUUUGUUCGACCAAAAGAGAGAUAUUACUUGUUUCAAACUUGUUCAUUACUUGUUUGAAACUUGUCAAAAUUAUUGAAAAAUCGAAGAAGUAAAAUUUGUCAUUGUUUUUUAUCUGAUCAUAAUAAUUCGAUUAUUUACUGUUGUAUUUGAUUGACGAAAUUUUGAACGAAAGUUUCGUGGUGAAAGACACAGGACGACAUUCUUGUUGGUCGAAAUCGUGGUGUCUGAUUUUCCGUCAUGAAAAGUCGGGACACGUUGUCACGGUAAUUUUUAGGCUGGAUUGGCCGGCUCAGAAAUUUCGUGCUUGAUCCGUAAUUAUACCGUUCGCCCGUUGAGAGCAUCAAAGUUUAAAUUACUGGUUAUCCACCGACGUACUCUGAUGGGAUACGAGCGAAGAAUAAGAAAUCAGAGUACGUAAAUAGGAAAGUAGUGUUCGGCAUGCGUAUCAGUCUGUUCCCUUCGUCGUUUCAUUGUCCUGGGAAAAUAAGCGGAUUCUUCCCGCGGGAUUUUCUAAAAGAAUGCCAAAGAAAAUGAAAGAUCGUGGAUUAAGAAAAUAUAGAAUAGAAUUUUUCUUACAUAAUUUCUCUAUUAACAAGAAUUUUUUAAUUUAUGUAAUUAAUACCGAUCCGUGGUUAAUAUGAAUUUACAAAAUGUGUAUGUUCCAAAAUUUGCUGGAAAAUUAAGGAAGAAGGUAUUUCUUAAUUUCCAAGUUCCAGGAAAAUCUAAUUCGUUUAUUAUACCAAGUGAGAGGCAGAGAAUUUCGGUGAAAGUGGUCGGUUUAUGGUCGGAUAUAAUUUGCCUCUGCUGGGCUCCAAGAUAUUUUUUCUACUUAUUAUUCAUGAAUCUUUCAAGGUCUUCUAGAGAUAUUACGAAAUGUACAAUAUUCUCAGACAAUUUUUCUAUUAGUAACAAUUUUCUAAUCUCACGAAAAGGACAUUUUUAAAGAUCGUGUCGAGCAGAACACUGAAAAUUCCAACAAUGAUGGCCAAUCUGUGAUCAGACGCGUCUUUCUUUCUAUUUUGUCCACGAUGUUCCAAAGUUUC